GGGUUGUUGCUGGUUCUCUAGGGAGCAUGUGCACACCUUGUCAUCUUUAUAUCUCCACCUGUGCACCUUUUGUAGACCUUUUCAGGUCUAUGUUGCUUCAUUUACCCCCAAUGUAUGUUAAUAGAAUGUUGUGCCUAUAAUAAUAUAUACAACUUUCAGCAACGGAUCUCUUGGCUCUCGCAUCGAUGAAGAACGCAGCGAAAUGCGAUAAGUAAUGUGAAUUGCAGAAUUCAGUGAAUCAUCGAAUCUUUGAACGCACCUUGCGCUCCUUGGUAUUCCGAGGAGCAUGCCUGUUUGAGUGUCAUUAAUAUAUCAACCUUCUCUUGUUGAGUGGUUUGGAUGUGGGAGUUUGCUGGCCUCUUGAAAGGUUUUAGCUCUCCUGAAAUGCAUUAGCGGAACAACCCUGUUCAUUGGCGUGAUAACUAUCGACGCUAUUGAAUGUAAAGGGCAGUUUGGCUUUCUAACAGUCCUUGGACAGCUCAUCAUUAAUGUGACCUCAAAUCAGGUAGGACUACCCGCUGAACUUAAGCAUAUCAAUAAGCGGAGGAA
rnacentral:rRNA from 1 species